rnacentral:rRNA from 1 species
GACGAACGCUGGCGGCGUGCUUAACACAUGCAAGUCGAACGGAAAGGCCCCCACCUUGGUGGGGGUGCUCGAGUGGCGAACGGGUGAGUAACACGUGGGUGAUCUGCCCUGUACUUCGGGAUAAGCUUGGGAAACCGGGUCUAAUACCGGAUAGGACCAUGGUUUAGUGUCUCAUGGUGGAAAAAUUAUUGUUUUGGUGCAGGAUGAGCUCGCGGCCUAUCAGCUUGUUGGUGGGGUAAUGGCCUACCAAGGCGUCGACGGGUAGCCGGCCUGAGAGGGUGGACGGCCACAUUGGGACUGAGAUACGGCCCAGACUCCUACGGGAGGCAGCAGUGGGGAAUAUUGCACAAUGGGCGCAAGCCUGAUGCAGCGACGCCGCGUGGGGGAUGACGGCCGUCGGGUUGUAAACUCCUUUCGUUAGGGACGAAGCCACACCUUUUUUGGGUGUGGUGUCGGUACCUUUGUUAAGAAGCACCGGCUAACUACGUG